AUAUAAGAUAAAUAGGGAUGCGUAUAAAUUUUCUGUCCCUUGAAUUUCUGUGACAACACAAGAUGCUCUCCCUCCUUCAUUUUGCUCAGACAUCAUCUGUUGAUGUCAGGAACAUCUGAGAAUGCUAUAAUUGGAUAUUCCACGAAACACUUUGUUUAUGAACUCUACUGUGGAUUUCCGAAAACUGAUUUCCUUGGUUGGUAGCUUUUCUUUUUAGCCCCGUCCUAGUUUAUAGCAGAUUUAAAUUGUGGGAAAAGGAUAAUUGGACAUGUUAUAAGUUGACCCUCUUAUGCCAGAAAUCAUUAUCAGAUCCUCAGAGUUCAGCCAGUGCUCCAGAAACUUGCC
rnacentral:lncRNA from 1 species